rnacentral:rRNA from 1 species
GACGAACGCUGGCGGCGUGCUUAACACAUGCAAGUCGAACGGAAAGGCCCUGCUUUUGUGGGGUGCUCGAGUGGCGAACGGGUGAGUAACACGUGAGUAACCUGCCCUUGACUUUGGGAUAACUUCAGGAAACUGGGGCUAAUACCGGAUAGGAGCUCCUGCUGCAUGGUGGGGGUUGGAAAGUUUCGGCGGUUGGGGAUGGACUCGCGGCUUAUCAGCUUGUUGGUGGGGUAGUGGCUUACCAAGGCUUUGACGGGUAGCCGGCCUGGGAGGGUGACCGGCCACAAGGGGACUGCGAUACGGACCAGACGCGUACGGGAGGCAGCGGGGGGGAGUAUUGCACAAUGGGCGGGAGCCUGAGGCAGCGGCGCCGCGUGCGGGAUGACGGCCUUCGGGUUGAGAACCGCUUUCGCCUGAGACGAAGCGUGAGUGACGGUAAUGGGUAAAGAAGCACCGGCUAACUACGUG